UGAACCCGGAAGUGAACAAACAAAUCACUGCUAAUAAUUGUCCAAUACUAUUAUUGUUAUUAUUUAUGUAAACAUUUAAAAGUUGAAACUUUAAAAAAAUGAGUUCGCCAGACGAAAAACACGGAACGAAACGACCUCUGUCCCCAAGUGAAAGACAGGUGUGCCAGGUGAGUGACCGUUAAGAGGUUUAUACCUGCAGGAGUGGGAUUCAGCUGACCCAGGAAGUGACGAGAGAAGGCGGACAUUUUUACGGCUGAUGGGAGCCUCCAAGAAAGAACAAGCGGGACGCCUGGUCGUCGUAAACCACAAGUCAACGCCACAUUUCUGCAGCAAAACUGUCUCUUCGAUGCAAACCUCUCCACCACUACGUGCAAGACCAACGAGCUGUCAAAGGACCUGAGGGACAAGAUUGUAGACCUGCACAAGACCGGGAUGGGCUACAAGACCAUCAGCAAGAAGCUUGGUGAGAAAGAGACCACGGUCGGUGCCAUCAUCCGGAAAUGGAAGAAGUACAAAACAACGGCCGACAGCAGAUUUCACCUGCUGGAGUAAUGAUGGCGGCAAGGAAGUGUCUGUCACCCGACGUACCGCCAGUAGAGGGUCGGAUGCCAAAGCCUGGGGCGACGCCCGGCAAAAGCAGCGAGUCCAAAGACGCAGAGCGCAAAGUUUGUUAUCCGAACCAGAAAUAAUUCCCGAACAGAGAGAGUGAGAGCUAUAAAUGUAACCACAAUUACAAAAUGUCGCCUGUCAAGUCAUAGCUUUUUUCACAUUUUUCAAUUUUAUUUAAUAUACUGUGUGUGUAUAUAUAUAUAUAUAUAUUCAGUAUAGGGUGUAGAAAAAACAAUUGUCGAAUGAAUCGCAAUUUUUCUUUAUAACGAUUUUUAAUACAUUUUUAAAAAUUGGAAAAUCGAUUAAUUUUUUUUAACAUGUUUUUUUGUUUUUUUAAGCUGUCCUGUCCAGCCACUCAGGCAAAUCAUAUUGUUGAUGCAGAUGAUCUAUAUCUGCUGUACAGAUUUACUUUAGAAAAGAGAAAUGUUGGAUACUU